rnacentral:rRNA from 1 species
UUUCGAAUUAUUCACAAUGGGCGAAAGCCUGAUGGUGCGACGCCGCGUGAGGGAUGAAGGUCUUCGGAUUGUAAACCUCUGUCACCGGGGAAGAAUGGCUAUGACCUAAUACGUCAUGGUUUGACUUAACCCGGAGAGGAAGCAGUGGCUAACUCUGUGCCAGCAGCCGCGGUAAUACAGAGACUGCAAGCGUUAUUCGGAUUCACUGGGCGUAAAGGGUGCGCAGGCGGUUAUGUGUGUCAGGGGUGAAAGCCCGAGGCCCAACCUCGGAAUGGCGCCUAAAACUACAUGACUAGAGUACCGGAGAGGAUAGCGGAAUUCACGGUGUAGCAGUGAAAUGCGUAGAUAUCGUGAAGAACACCAGCGGCGAAGGCGGCUAUCUGGAAGGUAACUGACGCUCAGGCACGAAAGCGUGGGGAGCAAAAG